ACACGUCCUCUGAAAUUCAAAUGAAACUUCAUCUCCCUCAUUCUCCCUCCACCGCGCCAGAGCUCACCACCGGUGGCGGUGGAGCAGCAUAUCACAAAAUUAACUAUACCAAAACAACCUAAAUUCCACGCUCAACUCAAAUCCACAAACGAAUUCCUCCAAAACCUCAUAAAAAAUCCAGAUCGAAGAACAAGAUGUAAUAACCCUAAAUCUAAGAACAUAAAUUAAAUGGUGAAUGCAUGUAAUCAAAGCCCUAGAUGUUAGGGCUUUGAUUCAUAUCAACAAGCUCUACAUCAUGGUAACUUGUUUGAGUCAAAUCGAUGAAGAUGAAAGGAUGUACUCACUGGAGCAGGCGCCAAAAAUUCCAAUUAAGCUCUAUGAAACUUCUCGAAAACUCUUCUUUUUGAUCCUUCUUCUUCUCAAUCUUCUUCUUCUUGCUUUUUCUGUGACUUGCUCUGAAUCUGAGAGAGUUGUGUGAAUUCAAUAGCUCUGAGUUGAGAAGAUGAGAAAGUUGAAUCGAGGUGAAUCGAGUGAAUGAUUGAGAAUCCCUUAAAUGAAUGAAGGUGAAAGCAUUUUAUAGGCAAUGUGUUUAAAGGAUAUGUUACUUCUGUUAGAUUGUUAAAAUCGAAGUCAGUUGAAGGUUAAAUCACAGAGUCAAAUAAUUAGUCAUGUUAGUUAGAUUUUGAAAAUCAGUUAGAGUUAACUGAGUGAAAAUGAAUUUUGCUGUAACUGAAAUUUUUGUUAAAAUGUUCACUGAAUCGAGUUAGCUCUAAUAUCUGUUAGUAUAAAAAAUGUUCAGUUAACUGAUCGAAAAUGUUAGAUGAUGUAGGUUAAUUAGUUAGUGAAAGUUAGUUCAAAUAACUCUUAAUUGAUAAUGGUGAACUUGUUUGUUUGAUUUUAAAAUUAGUCUUCUAUGUGAUACUUAACUGCAUGAUGACGAUGUUGCAGGAUGCAAGGUAAUAUGUAUAUGUCAUGGUAAUGAACCUGAUAUUGUAGGUUUUGUUCAAUGCAUAUUGUUGUCACAGUCAUGAAUGCAUGAUGUAGGGAUUGUGUUAUGGCUAUGAUGCAGGUGAUUGAUAAUUGAACCAAAGGCUACAUCAUAUUUUUACAUGGCCAUCCUUGGGACUGCAAGCAUUAUUUUGGUUUGAUGUAAGCAUGUGGCGAUUGUAUCACGAUGGACCAAGGUUACAGGGCACGACUUUGUUUGUGUGCAGGUUGAUCUGAUGCAGGUUAUGUUCAAUGUAAAGGUUAUGAGGUAUGUAUGUGGUAAGCUCAUGCCUUGGUAAGUUUUUGCAAGUGGUUUGGUAUGCUAUGUUUGUAAUGUAUGUGUAUGGUUGUAUGUUUGGAUUGAUGGUUGUUAAUUUGAGGGCAUGAUUUUGGUGCAAGGCCUGUGGUUUGUAGCAAGGUUGCAAGACUUGGUUUGUAGAAGGCAAGGCAAAGCUUGGUUUGUAGCAAGGCAAGAUGACCAAGUCAUGACCAACUUGCAAAACAAGGGACUUUCUUGCUCAUGAAGGAAGUGUGAUGAUAGAGCUUCAAGAAAUCAAUGCAAUGAUGAAGAUAUGAUUAGUAUUAGAUUUAGGGAUGCAAAAAUUUAAUGGUUGACUUUGGUCAACUGGUUGACCAAAAGUCAACUUUUGUAAAAAUACUAUUUUUGAUUUUUUUCAUUUUGUAAUGACUAUGUGUAUUCUAAUGAAUGAAUGAAUGAGUGGUCAAUUACUUGAAUGAAAUGA
rnacentral:lncRNA from 1 species